rnacentral:rRNA from 1 species
UACGUAGGGUGCGAGCGUUAAUCGGAAUUACUGGGCGUAAAGCGUGCGCAGGCGGUUUUAUAAGCCAGAUGUGAAAGCCCCGGGCUCAACCUGGGAAUGGCAUUUGGGACUGUAAGGCUGGAGUGAUGGCAGAGGAGACUAGAAUUCCUGGUGUAGCAGUGAAAUGCGCAGAUAAUCAGGAGGAACACCAAUUGCGAAGGCAGCUCGCUGGGACGUAACUGACGCUGAGACGCGAAAGCGUGGGGAGCAAACAGG